rnacentral:rRNA from 1 species
AUUGAACGCUGGCGGCAGGCCUAACACAUGCAAGUCGAACGAGCGGCGGACGUGUGAGUAAUGUCUGGGAAUCUGCCAUGUAGUGGGGGAUCACUUCUGGACAGGGUAGCUAAUACCGCAUACUAUGGGCUGCCCCCAUGUGUGAUUAGCUAGUAGGUGGGGUAAAGGCCCACCUAGGCGACGAUCUCUCGCUGGUCUGAGAGGAUGAACGGCCAAACUGGGACUGAGACACGGCCCAGACUCCUCCGGGGGGAAGCAGUGGGGAAUAUUGCAAAAUGGGGGAAAGCCUGAUGCAGCCAUGCGGGGUGUAUGAAGAAGGCCUUAGGGUUGUAAAGUACUUUCAGCGGGGAGGCGUUACCCGCAGAAGAAGCACCGGCUAACUCCGUGCCAGCAGCCGCGGUAAUUC